GACGAACGCUGGCGGCGUGCUUAACACAUGCAAGUCGAACGAAGUGGCGAACGGGUGAGUAACGCGUAAUCAACCUGCCCUUCAGCGGGGGACAACAGUUGGAAACGACUGCUAAUACCGCAUACUGAAGGUGGGGUUUGCGUCUGGUUAGCUAGUUGGGGGGGUAACGGCCCACCACGGCGAUGAUCAGUAGCGUGUCUGGGAGGAUGAACGGGCACAAUGGGACUGUGAAACGGCCCAGACUUCGACGGGAGGCAACAGUGGGGAAUUUUCCGAAAUGGACGGAAAGCUGACUGAGCAACUCCGCGGGGGUGAUGACGGCCUUCGGGUUGGAAAGCUCUGUUAAUCGGGACGCAGUACCGGAAUAGAAAGCAACGGCUAACUACGUGCCAGCAGCCGCGGUAAUUC
rnacentral:rRNA from 1 species